AUAACAUCAACCGUCCGGCUUUGUUGUCGGAGGGCUUGGACUUGGGGGAAUUGUUUGUCGGCCUCGCGGUCGGCUCCCCUUGAAUGCAUUAGCUGGAUCGUACCUUUGGUCGCGGGUUAGGUGGAUUCCACGGUGUAGUACGCUAUUCACCGAGGAGGAAGCCUUACUUUCAUGCCUAACACCUUCGGAACGUCUGCUUCCAACCGUCUUCGGACAACAUUUUGUAA
rnacentral:misc_RNA from 1 species